UCUUUGUGAAAGACAAGGGUAGUGAGAUGAUUCAAUAAUACCAUCUUACUACUCUGUCUUUUGCAUAGAU
rfam:Lottia gigantea unplaced genomic scaffold LOTGIsca_2, whole genome shotgun sequence.